rnacentral:lncRNA from 1 species
UUGCCUUUACUCCUAUAUAUAUAGAGUUAGGUUAGUACAUAUGUUUAUAUCACCUAUGGAAUGUGUACAUUUGUAUAUACACAUGUGAAGUACAUUUGUCACGAUUCGGAACUCCCAUCGAGCCCGUGACAACCGCAGCGACGCCCCGAUAGGCACUCAUUACCCCGAAUGUCGAUCGAAACCCCGCAAGGCUUAGCAUCAGCUUCUGCAUCUCCCCAGUGAGCGACAGUUAUUAAAUUUCACAUUUCAAAAAAAAUCAUAAGUCAUUUUCAAAUCAAAAAAAUAAAAUAUUACUUUCUUGCUCACAUGGGGCAUUUUCAUCAUUCUUGUCGAAAAUACGGAAACCCGCAAAAAAUAUGGUGUAAAAGAUAAAUAUGUACAUACAUACUUUAAAUCAAAUAACUGAAGAAUAAAAAUUACUUUUACAGUGACACGUGGG